GACGAACGCUGGCGGCGUGCUUAACACAUGCAAGUCGAACGGAAAGGCCCUGCUUUUGUGGGGUGCUCGAGUGGCGAACGGGUGAGUAACACGUGAGUAACCUGCCCUUGACUUUGGGAUAACUUCAGGAAACUGGGGCUAAUACCGGAUAGGAGCUCCUGCUGCAUGGUGGGGGUUGGAAAGUUUCGGCGGUUGGGGAUGGACUCGCGGCUUAUCAGCUUGUUGGUGGGGUAGUGGCUUACCAAGGCUUUGACGGGUAGCCGGCAUGAGAGGGUGACCGGCCACAUUGGGACUGAGAGACGGCCCAGAAUCCUACGGGAGGCAGCAGUGGGGAAUAUUGCACAAUGGGCGGAAGCCUGAUGCAGCAACGCCGCGUGCGGGAUGACGGCCUUCGGGUUGUAAACCGCUUUCGCCUGUGACGAAGCGUGAGUGACGGUAAUGGGUAAAGAAGCACCGGCUAACUACGUG
rnacentral:rRNA from 1 species